GGGUUGUGAGGUUAAGCGACUAAGCGUACACGGUGGAUGCCCUGGCAGUCAGAGGCGAUGAAGGACGUGCUAAUCUGCGAUAAGCGUCGGUAAGGUGAUAUGAACCGUUAUAACCGGCGAUUUCCGAAUGGGGAAACCCAGUGUGUUUCGACACACUAUCAUUAACUGAAUCCAUAGGUUAAUGAGGCGAACCGGGGGAACUGAAACAUCUAAGUACCCCGAGGAAAAGAAAUCAACCGAGAUUCCCCCAGUAGCGGCGAGCGAACGGGGAGCAGCCCAGAGCCUGAAUCAGUGUGUGUGUUAGUGGAAGCGUCUGGAAAGGCGCGCGAUACAGGGUGACAGCCCCGUACACAAAAAUGCACAUGCUGUGAGCUCGAUGAGUAGGGCGGGACACGUGGUAUCCUGUCUGAAUAUGGGGGGACCAUCCUCCAAGGCUAAAUACUCCUGACUGACCGAUAGUGAACCAGUACCGUGAGGGAAAGGCGAAAAGAACCCCGGCGAGGGGAGUGAAAAAGAACCUGAAACCGUGUACGUACAAGCAGUGGGAGCACGCUUAGGCGUGUGACUGCGUACCUUUUGUAUAAUGGGUCAGCGACUUAUAUUCUGUAGCAAGGUUAACCGAAUAGGGGAGCCGAAGGGAAACCGAGUCUUAACUGGGCGUUAAGUUGCAGGGUAUAGACCCGAAACCCGGUGAUCUAGCCAUGGGCAGGUUGAAGGUUGGGUAACACUAACUGGAGGACCGAACCGACUAAUGUUGAAAAAUUAGCGGAUGACUUGUGGCUGGGGGUGAAAGGCCAAUCAAACCGGGAGAUAGCUGGUUCUCCCCGAAAGCUAUUUAGGUAGCGCCUCGUGAAUUCAUCUCCGGGGGUAGAGCACUGUUUCGGCAAGGGGGUCAUCCCGACUUACCAACCCGAUGCAAACUGCGAAUACCGGAGAAUGUUAUCACGGGAGACACACGGCGGGUGCUAACGUCCGUCGUGAAGAGGGAAACAACCCAGACCGCCAGCUAAGGUCCCAAAGUCAUGGUUAAGUGGGAAACGAUGUGGGAAGGCCCAGACAGCCAGGAUGUUGGCUUAGAAGCAGCCAUCAUUUAAAGAAAGCGUAAUAGCUCACUGGUCGAGUCGGCCUGCGCGGAAGAUGUAACGGGGCUAAACCAUGCACCGAAGCUGCGGCAGCGACGCUUAUGCGUUGUUGGGUAGGGGAGCGUUCUGUAAGCCUGUGAAGGUGUGCUGUGAGGCAUGCUGGAGGUAUCAGAAGUGCGAAUGCUGACAUAAGUAACGAUAAAGCGGGUGAAAAGCCCGCUCGCCGGAAGACCAAGGGUUCCUGUCCAACGUUAAUCGGGGCAGGGUGAGUCGACCCCUAAGGCGAGGCCGAAAGGCGUAGUCGAUGGGAAACAGGUUAAUAUUCCUGUACUUGGUGUUACUGCGAAGGGGGGACGGAGAAGGCUAUGUUGGCCGGGCGACGGUUGUCCCGGUUUAAGCGUGUAGGCUGGUUUUCCAGGCAAAUCCGGAAAAUCAAGGCUGAGGCGUGAUGACGAGGCACUACAGUGCUGAAGCAACAAAUGCCCUGCUUCCAGGAAAAGCCUCUAAGCAUCAGGUAACAUCAAAUCGUACCCCAAACCGACACAGGUGGUCAGGUAGAGAAUACCAAGGCGCUUGAGAGAACUCGGGUGAAGGAACUAGGCAAAAUGGUGCCGUAACUUCGGGAGAAGGCACGCUGAUAUGUAGGUGAAGCGACUUGCUCGUGGAGCUGAAAUCAGUCGAAGAUACCAGCUGGCUGCAACUGUUUAUUAAAAACACAGCACUGUGCAAACACGAAAGUGGACGUAUACGGUGUGACGCCUGCCCGGUGCCGGAAGGUUAAUUGAUGGGGUUAGCCGCAAGGCGAAGCUCUUGAUCGAAGCCCCGGUAAACGGCGGCCGUAACUAUAACGGUCCUAAGGUAGCGAAAUUCCUUGUCGGGUAAGUUCCGACCUGCACGAAUGGCGUAAUGAUGGCCAGGCUGUCUCCACCCGAGACUCAGUGAAAUUGAACUCGCUGUGAAGAUGCAGUGUACCCGCGGCAAGACGGAAAGACCCCGUGAACCUUUACUAUAGCUUGACACUGAACAUUGAGCCUUGAUGUGUAGGAUAGGUGGGAGGCUUUGAAGUGUGGACGCCAGUCUGCAUGGAGCCGACCUUGAAAUACCACCCUUUAAUGUUUGAUGUUCUAACGUUGACCCGUAAUCCGGGUUGCGGACAGUGUCUGGUGGGUAGUUUGACUGGGGCGGUCUCCUCCUAAAGAGUAACGGAGGAGCACGAAGGUUGGCUAAUCCUGGUCGGACAUCAGGAGGUUAGUGCAAUGGCAUAAGCCAGCUUGACUGCGAGCGUGACGGCGCGAGCAGGUGCGAAAGCAGGUCAUAGUGAUCCGGUGGUUCUGAAUGGAAGGGCCAUCGCUCAACGGAUAAAAGGUACUCCGGGGAUAACAGGCUGAUACCGCCCAAGAGUUCAUAUCGACGGCGGUGUUUGGCACCUCGAUGUCGGCUCAUCACAUCCUGGGGCUGAAGUAGGUCCCAAGGGUAUGGCUGUUCGCCAUUUAAAGUGGUACGCGAGCUGGGUUUAGAACGUCGUGAGACAGUUCGGUCCCUAUCUGCCGUGGGCGCUGGAGAACUGAGGGGGGCUGCUCCUAGUACGAGAGGACCGGAGUGGACGCAUCACUGGUGUUCGGGUUGUCAUGCCAAUGGCACUGCCCGGUAGCUAAAUGCGGAAGAGAUAAGUGCUGAAAGCAUCUAAGCACGAAACUUGCCCCGAGAUGAGUUCUCCCUGACCCUUUAAGGGUCCUGAAGGAACGUUGAAGACGACGACGUUGAUAGGCCGGGUGUGUAAGCGCAGCGAUGCGUUGAGCUAACCGGUACUAAUGAACCGUGAGGCUUAACCUUACAACGCCGAAG
rnacentral:rRNA from 1 species